AUCGUAAUUUGAUCAGUGAAUUUCAACCUUUGGUUACUUAUUUAUGAUUUUUUAGGGAAAACAAAAUAUGUGCAAGAAACAGUGGAAUAUGAUGAUGAUGCGACGCAAGCAGAUAGCCCACCCUCACAAAAACGCCCAAAAGUAGGAGAAUACAUCGCGAACGCAUCAAGCUCACCGAACUCAUCGCAAGAUAUAUUUACAGAACUACAAGAUGUACCUUACUCCCAAAAAUGGACAUAUUCGCAACAAAUGGAUGAAUAUGACAAAAAGGAUGUAAACACCAUGACUGACGGAAGACCAACAAUUACUAAAUAUAAAGAAAUUGGUACCAUGACUGAACCAGGGUUGACUUGUAACAACAAUACUAAUAUUGAAAUUCGAUGCAAUGAAUAUUUCGGAAGUGUUGUAGCAUGCGAGCUAGCAAAUUAUCACGGUCGCGUUCGUUACGAUAAAAUGAAAGCUAUCAUUGAUAUUUUUAAAGAAAAGUGAGAAAUUAGUUGCCUUGAUUGUUUAAAAGGUUUCUAUGAUUCUCUUGAGGAAAGAAAUUGAGUUCCUAAGGGUUGUGAUUUCAAUUGAAAUAAUAAUAGUGAUUUGAGAAAUCAACGUCUUUAUUAAAGCACUUAUUGUGUGUACAAUAUUAUAGUUACUACUUAUGUUAAAGAUAAAUGUUAAAAAAUCAACGUAAUUAGACCAACAAUAUUAUACAAUAAUUAUCAAUAGAAA